rnacentral:rRNA from 1 species
CUAGCCGUAAACGAUGGAUACUAGGUGUUAGAGGUAUCGACCCCUCUAGUGCCGAAGCUAACGCAUUAAGUAUCCCGCCUGGGGAGUACGACCGCAAGGUUGAAACUCAAAGGAAUUGACGGGGGCCCGCACAAGCGGUGGAGCAUGUGGUUUAAUACGUCACUAACCGUAGAACCUCACCCAGGUUUGACAUCCACUGUAAGUCCAUGAAAGUGGUACCCCUGUAUGGAAACAUACAGCAGUGAGACAGGUGU